rnacentral:rRNA from 1 species
AGUGAACGCUGGCGGUAGGCCUAACACAUGCAAGUCGAACGGCAGCACAGUAAGAGCUUGCUCUUACGGGUGGCGAGUGGCGGACGGGUGAGGAAUACAUCGGAAUCUACUUUUUCGUGGGGGAUAACGUAGGGAAACUUACGCUAAUACCGCAUACGACCUACGGGUGAAAGCAGGGGAUCUUCGGACCUUGCGCGAUUGAAUGAGCCGAUGUCGGAUUAGCUAGUUGGCGGGGUAAAGGCCCACCAAGGCGACGAUCCGUAGCUGGUCUGAGAGGAUGAUCAGCCACACUGGAACUGAGACACGGUCCAGACUCCUACGGGAGGCAGCAGUGGGGAAUAUUGGACAAAGGGCGCAAGCCUGAUCCAGCCAUACCGCGUGGGUGAAGAAGGCCUUCGGGUUGUAAAGCCCUUUUGUUGGGAAAGAAAAGCAGCAGGUUAAUACCCCGCUGUUCUGACGGUACCCAAAGAAUAAGCUCCGGCUAACUUCGUG